GGAUUCCCGGGAAUGUUUGGGCC
rnacentral:miRNA from 1 species